GCUGCCCUGCACUCUGGGACAAGCCCUGGAAACGGGGUCUAAUACCGGAUAUGACCGUCUUGGGCAUCCUUGACGGUGUAAAGCUCCGGCGGUGCAGGAUGAGCCCGCGGCCUAUCAGCUUGUUGGUGAGGUAGUGGCUCACCAAGGCGACGACGGGUAGCCGGCCUGAGAGGGCGACCGGCCACACUGGGACUGAGACACGGCCAGACUCCUACGGGAGGCAGCAGUGGGGGAAUAUUGCACAAUGGGCGGAAGCCUGAUGCAGCGACGCCGCGUGAGGGACGACGGCCUUCGGGUUGUAAACCUCUUUCAGCAGGGAAGAAGCGCAAGUGACGGUACCUGCAGAAGAAGCGCCGGCUAUCUACGUGCCAGCAGCCGCGGUAAUCGUAGGGCGCAAGCGUUGUCCGGAAUUAUUGGGCGUAAAGAGCUCGUAGGCGGCUUGUCGCGUCGGUUGUGAAAGCCCGGGGCUUAACCGCGGGUCUGCAGUCGAUACGGGCAGGCUAGAGUUCGGUAGGGGAGAUCGGAAUUCCUGGUGUAGCGGUGAAAUGCGCAGAUAUCAGGAGGAACACCGGUGCGAAGGCGGAUCUCUGGGCCGAUACUGACGCUGAGGAGCGAAAGCGUGGGGAGCGAACAGGAUUAGAUACCCUGGUAGUCCACGCCGUAAACGGUGGGCACUAGGUGUGGGCAACAUUCCACGUUGUCCGUGCCGCAGCUAACGCAUUAAGUGCG
rnacentral:rRNA from 1 species